UCCUCGAUAGUUCAGUCGGAUAGAGCGUCUGCUAUGUAAGCAGGAGGUCCGGGUUCGAGUCCCGGUCGGGGCA